rnacentral:rRNA from 1 species
AAAAAUGCACAUGCUGUGAGCUCGAUGAGUAGGGCGGGACACGUGGUAUCCUGUCUGAAUAUGGGGGGACCAUCCUCCAAGGCUAAAUACUCCUGACUGACCGAUAGUGAACCAGUACCGUGAGGGAAAGGCGAAAAGAACCCCGGCGAGGGGAGUGAAAAAGAACCUGAAACCGUGUACGUACAAGCAGUGGGAGCACAGAGCAAUCUGUGUGACUGCGUACCUUUUGUAUAAUGGGUCAGCGACUUAUAUUCUGUAGCAAGGUUAACCGAAUAGGGGAGCCGAAGGGAAACCGAGUCUUAACUGGGCGUUAAGUUGCAGGGUAUAGACCCGAAACCCGGUGAUCUAGCCAUGGGCAGGUUGAAGGUUGGGUAACACUAACUGGAGGACCGAACCGACUAAUGUUGAAAAAUUAGCGGAUGACUUGUGGCUGGGGGUGAAAGGCCAAUCAAACCGGGAGAUAGCUGGUUCUCCCCGAAAGCUAUUUAGGUAGCGCCUCGUGAAUUCAUCUCCGGGGGUAGAGCACUGUUUCGGCAAGGGGGUCAUCCCGACUUACCAACCCGAUGCAAACUGCGAAUACCGGAGAAUGUUAUCACGGGAGACACACGGCGGGUGCUAACGUCCGUCGUGAAGAGGGAAACAACCCAGACCGCCAGCUAAGGUCCCAAAGUCAUGGUUAAGUGGGAAACGAUGUGGGAAGGCCCAGACAGCCAGGAUGUUGGCUUAGAAGCAGCCAUCAUUUAAAGAAAGCGUAAUAGCUCACUGGUCGAGUCGGCCUGCGCGGAAGAUGUAACGGGGCUAAACCAUGCACCGAAGCUGCGGCAGCGACGCUUAUGCGUUGUUGGGUAGGGGAGCGUUCUGUAAGCCUGUGAAGGUGUACUGUGAGGUAUGCUGGAGGUAUCAGAAGUGCGAAUGCUGACAUAAGUAACGAUAAAGCGGGUGAAAAGCCCGCUCGCCGGAAGACCAAGGGUUCCUGUCCAACGUUAAUCGGGGCAGGGUGAGUCGACCCCUAAGGCGAGGCCGAAAGGCGUAGUCGAUGGGAAACAGGUUAAUAUUCCUGUACUUGGUGUUACUGCGAAGGGGGGACGGAGAAGGCUAUGUUGGCCGGGCGACGGUUGUCCCGGUUUAAGCGUGUAGGCUGGUUUUCCAGGCAAAUCCGGAAAAUCAAGGCUGAGGCGUGAUGACGAGGCACUACGGUGCUGAAGCAACAAAUGCCCUGCUUCCAGGAAAAGCCUCUAAGCAUCAGGUAACAUCAAAUCGUACCCCAAACCGACACAGGUGGUCAGGUAGAGAAUACCAAGGCGCUUGAGAGAACUCGGGUGAAGGAACUAGGCAAAAUGGUGCCGUAACUUCGGGAGAAGGCACGCUGAUAUGUAGGUGAAGUCCCUCGCGGAUGGAGCUGAAAUCAGUCGAAGAUACCAGCUGGCUGCAACUGUUUAUUAAAAACACAGCACUGUGCAAACACGAAAGUGGACGUAUACGGUGUGACGCCUGCCCGGUGCCGGAAGGUUAAUUGAUGGGGUCAGCGCAAGCGAAGCUCUUGAUCGAAGCCCCGGUAAACGGCGGCCGUAACUAUAACGGUCCUAAGGUAGCGAAAUUCCUUGUCGGGUAAGUUCCGACCUGCACGAAUGGCGUAAUGAUGGCCAGGCUGUCUCCACCCGAGACUCAGUGAAAUUGAACUCGCUGUGAAGAUGCAGUGUACCCGCGGCAAGACGGAAAGACCCCGUGAACCUUUACUAUAGCUUGACACUGAACAUUGAGCCUUGAUGUGUAGGAUAGGUGGGAGGCUUGGAAGUGUGGACGCCAGUCUGCAUGGAGCCGACCUUGAAAUACCACCCUUUAAUGUUU